GACGAACGCUGGCGGCGUGCUUAACACAUGCAAGUCGAACGAUGAAACCUAGCUUGCUAGGUCGAUUAGUGGCGAACGGGUGAGUAACACGUGACUAACCUGCCCCUUUCUCUGGGAUAACGCUCCGAAAGGAGUGCUAAUACCGGAUACUCACACCGAGGCACAUGCCUUGGUGUGGAAAGUUUUUCGGAAAGGGAUGGAGUCGCGGCCUAUCAGCUUGUUGGUGAGGUAACGGCUCACCAAGGCGACGACGGGUAGCCGGCCUGAGAGGGCGACCGGCCACACGGGGACUGAGACACGGCCCAGACGCCUACGGGAGGCAGCAGUGGGGAAUAUUGCACAAUGGGCGCAAGCCUGAUGCAGCGACGCCGCGUGAGGGAUGAAGGUCUUCGGAUUGUAAACCUCUUUCAGUAGGGACGAAGCGAAAGUGACGGUACCUAAAGAAGAAGCACCGGCUAACUACGUGCCAGCAGCCGCCGUAA
rnacentral:rRNA from 1 species